UGAGUACGAGCGGCUACGGCCGCGAAGUGGAUGAUGUCAAGCUUCCAAGAAAAGCCCUAUACCCGUUAAGGCAUGAUGGCCUGUACCCGAAACCGACACAGGUGGGGUGGUAGAGAAUACCGAGGGGCGCGAGGUAACUCUCUCUAAGGAACUCGGCAAAAUGGCCCCGUAACUUCGGGAGAAGGGGUGCCACCGCGAGGUGGUCGCAGUGAAGAGGCCCAGGCGACUGUUUACCAAAAACACAGGUCUCCGCUAAGUCGCAAGACGAUGUAUGGGGGCUGACGCCUGCCCAGUGCCGGAAGGUUAAGGAAGCUGGUCAGCGCAAGCGAAGCUGGCGACUGAAGCCCCGGUGAACGGCGGCCGUAACAAUAACGGUCCUAAGGUAGCGAAAUUCCUUGUCGGGUAAGUUCCGACCCGCACGAAAGGCGUAACGAUCUGGGCGCUGUCUCGGAGAGAGGCUCGGCGAAAUAGAAUUGUCUGUGAAGAUGCGGACUACGUGCACCCGGACAGAAAGACCCUAUGAAGCUUUACUGUAGCUUGGUAUUGUGCUCGGGCUCGGAAUGCGCAGGAUAGGUGGGAGGCUUUGAUCCAUUGCUUGCGGGUGAUGGUGAGCCACUGAUGGGAUACCACUCUUUCCGAGCUAGAGUUCUAACAGCAACCCGUUAUCCGGGUGCUGGACAGUAUCAGGUGGGCAGUUUGACUGGGGCGGUCGCCUCCUAAAAGGUAACGGAGGCGCGCAAAGGUCUGCUCAGGCUGGUUGGAAAUCAGCCGACGAGUGUAAAAGCAGAAGCAGGCUUGACUGUGAGACCUACAAGUCGAACAGGGAGGAAACUCGGCUUUAGUGAUCCGACGGUUCUGCGUGGAAGGGCCGUCGCUCAACGGAUAAAAGUUACUCUAAGGAUAACAGGCUGAUCUCCCCCAAGAGUUCACAUCGACGGGGAGGUUUGGCACCUCGAUGUCGGCUCAUCGCAACCUGGGGCUGAAGUCGGUCCCAAGGGUUGGGCUGUUCGCCCAUUAAAGCGGUACGCGAGCUGGGUUCAGAACGUCGUGAGACAGUUCGGUCCAUAUCCGGUGCACGCGCAGGAAUAUUGAGAGGAUUUCUCCCUAGUACGAGAGGACCGGGAGGAACGCACCUCUGGUGUGCCAGUUAUCGUGCCAACGGUAAACGCUGGGUAGCCAUGUGCGGAGUGGAUAACCGCUGAAAGCAUCUAAGUGGGAAGCCCACCUCAAGAUGAGUAUUCCCAUGGCAUAAGCCAGUAAGGUCACGGGAAGAACACCCGUUGAUAGGCUCUACGUGGAAGCGCAGUAAUGUGUGAAGCGGAGGAGUACUAAUAGACCGAGGGCUUGACC
rnacentral:rRNA from 1 species